rnacentral:lncRNA from 1 species
AAGCCAGAGUAUGAAAUAUGUAACAUGCAUAGUUGUGCCCCUACCCUUUUCUUAUGAAUUUGAACUUGUUCUCUCUAGGACCUUUAAGUAUUGAUGUACGAACUUGCACUAUAUUAGAACUGGUUAUAUUGUAUUGUGGCAUGGAUGUACCCCUACCCUUUUCUUAUGCUGGCGGUCAGUUACAAGAUAAUAACAUCUAAUCCACAUUAAUAAAGUCUUACAAGAUAACUAAUAAGUCUUACAACAUAACUAAUAAGAAAUAUUAAUUUAUCCUUUAACGAUUCUUCCUUCACAGUCACUAAGUAACCAUGGCUUCAUGGAUUUAUCAAUGCUUGCUUCAACACGCUUGAUUCUUCGUUCAUGGUCUUUGAACAGGUCCAAUUCUUCAUAUUGAUUGUAAUCCUCAAUGUCCACUACACCUUCAACUCC